UAAAAAUUAAAACCCCCAAACCAAAAAACCUUCCAAGAUAAGCUAAAACUAAAAGAAUUAGUGACUAAGACAGCAUUUCAGGAUAUACUUAUAAGAAUCCUAUAAUAGAAGACAAACACACACACACACACACACGUAACAACAACAAACAAACAAACAAACAAGAGAACGUGGGAAAGAAUCAAUCUCAUUAGAAGAGUAGAUAAAUAAACAAGAAUUAGGAUUGAAGCAAAAUUAGGAAUGACUCAAAAUGGCAGGAAUUAAUACAUAACAACAUUGAAUGUAAAUCUAUUAAUUUCUUCAAUUAAAAGAUAUAGACUCUCAGAGUGGUUUCAAAACAAGACCCAUCUAUUUUUUGCCUGUAAGAAACACACUUCAUGGACAAAGAUGUCCACAGGUUCAAAGUGAAAGACUAGAACAUGAUAUUCCAUGCAAACAAACCUGAAUGUAAGCAGGAUUAGCUACUCUCUGACGAAGCAGACCUCAAGCCAAAAUUAGUUAGGAGAGACAAAGAAGGUCACAGAUACUGGCAAAGGGAGCAAUCCAACAAGAAGAUAUAAUGACAGUAAAUAUUUUUGCCCCAAAUACUGGUGCAACUAAUCACAUAAAAUAAACUCUUAACCAUAAAGGUUUAGUACAAUAGUAAUGGGUGAUUUCAAUAUACCUCACUCACUAAUGUAUAGUUCAUCCAAACAUAAAAUCAAUUAAAACAUACUAUUAAUUAAAUAGACUUAAUGUCAUCUACAUAACAUUCCAUCCCACAACAGUUGGAUACUUUAUUUUCAGAUAAUUAUGGAACUUUCUUCAAAACAGAUACAAUUUUAGACCACAAACUUGGCCUAUUUUGGAAAGCUAAUUAAGGACUAUGUUGAAAAAUAAAUUAUGUUACAUUAAAUUGGAAAAUCUAGAAGAAAUGGAUAAAUUUCUAGACAUGUAUGACCUACCAAAUUGAACCAAGAGAAUGUAAGAAAACUGAAACAGACCUGUAACAAGCAACGAGAGCAAAGCAGUAAUAAAAACCUUCCAACAAACAAUGGAAGAUGGAUUUUCAGCUGAGUUCUACCAGACCUUUAAAGAAACUAAUGUCAAUGCUCCUCAGAGUAUUCCAUGAAAUAGAAAGGGAGGGCACUCUUCCAAAUUCAUUCUAUGAAGUCAUAUCACAUUCAUACCAAGACCAGAUAAGGACACAUCAAGGAAAGAAAAUUACAGGCUAAUAUCAUUGAUCAACAUAGGCACAACAAUCCUUAGUAAAAUAGUAGCAAAUAGAAUUCAACAACACACUGAAGUUAGUUUCAUUGUAGGGGUGUAAGGAUGUUUCAACAUCUGCAAAUUAAUAAAACUAAUAUGCUGUAUAAAUAGGAUCCAGUACAAAGAUCACAUGAUUAUCUCAAUAGAUUCAGAAAAAGCCUUCAAAAAUUCAACACCAAUUUCUGAUAAAAACCUUGAAAAAAUAGAAAUGCAAGAAACUUACCUCAAUAUCAUAAAG
rnacentral:lncRNA from 1 species